rnacentral:rRNA from 1 species
GAUGAACGCUGGCGGCGUGCUUAACACAUGCAAGUCGAACGGAAAGGCCCUGAGUUUGUGGGGUGCUCGAGUGGCGAACGGGUGAGUAUCACGUGUGUAUCCUGCCCUUGUCUUUGGGUUAACUUCAGGUAACUGGGGCUAAUACCGGAUAGGAUCUCCUGCUGCAUGGUGGGGGUUGGAAAGUGUCGGCGGUUGGGGAUGGACUCGCGGCUUACCAGCUUGUUGGUGGGGUAGUGGCUUACCAAGGCUUUGACGGGUAGCCGGCCUGGGAGGGUGACCGGCCACAAGGGGACUGAGAUACGGCCCAGACGCCUACGGGAGGCAGCAGGCGGGAGUAUUGCACAAUGGGCGGAAGCCUGAUGCAGCAGCCCCGCGUGCGGAAUGACGGCCUUCGGGUUAUAAACCGCUUUCGCCUGUGACGAAGCGUGAGUGACGGUAAUAGGUAAAGAAGCACCGGCUAACUACGUG